UAUCCCUACGUGUGAAAGCAAAGUUAGGGGUAGUGUAGAAAGUGGACUCUGUGUCAUGUGACUCGAGCAAGAAUAACUUUCUCAUUCCUACGUAUAAAAGGACCCCAUGAAAAUAUAUUAUGCAUGGCCAUAUCAGAAAUCCUCUAUAGCUCCUCUCUCUCUCUCUCUCUCUCUCUCUCUCUCUCUCUCUUUUUGCCCCCCUCUUCUAUUAACAGUUGAGGGGAAUGUUGUCUGGUUCGAUGUCAUUCAUCUGAAGCUCAAAUUAACCUUAACUGAAUGAUUUCGGACCAGGCUUCAUUCCCCCCAACAGGGUUUGAUUUGAUUUUCAUCUAGACUAAUUAAAGCAUGUAAUAGCUUUGCUAAUUCAUCAUCUUCAUCAUUUUUUAGUCUGAUGCAGUAGAUAUUAAGAGGUGCAAGAAAGUUUAGUUCUCCCUUGUUAUUUCCAUUUUCUAAAGCUUAAUCAUAUAUAUUAUUGCUGAUGGCAGGAGGAUAUAUAUAUCUUUAGUCGAUCGGCUUUGAUCUGAUGCAAAUAAUUAUCAGGGAAAGGAACCAAAGAAAAAGCUAUUAUGAAAUUUCAGCCACCAGGCAGCCAGCAGACAUGAUAUGACGACAAUGAUCUACGUGUCCUCUGUGAAAUCAUACGUACGCUAGUUGCUUUUAAAGUAAGGUUGAAAAAUUAAAAUCGAAGUACUCCUUUAGGGGAUUUGACAUAUGGGAUUAUGAAGAUUGAAGAGACCAAAGAGAAAAAAAGAAAAGUUUAUUGGGUGCCAAACAGCCAAAGGGUCUACUCUGCUAAUGUGUUCCCCAUGGACUGAUUAUUAACUUUUCCAUGAAUAUAUGUAUCGAUGGAAUCCUUAAUUCUUAGCUUCUACUGCUUAGGUUUAGGGUUACAGAACAAGUAUCAUAUCUAUAUAUUAUUUUCUCCUUCUCGUCUUAGGAUAUUAACAUGCAUUUAUUUGCCGUCAGAAAUGUAUAUAUCUAUCAAUUCACAUUAAUUAAAUUUGUAGCAAUUGAUUGUCUUUGCCGUCUCAUAAAUAUAGAAAAAGAAAAGGUUCAAUCCCCAGCAUUUUUAUUUAAAAGCUGUUUAAUGAAUGAAUGUACUUUCUUUUAUUUCAGUGAAUGGGUUUAACAAUAGAACUGCACCAAAGAUUUUUUGCGCUUUCUAAUUAUAUGAAAGCAUGCUCCAUUUGAUUAGUUUGUUUUGAUGUUCUUCACAUGAUGAGAUUGGAUUAUGUUUGCUCAUAAUUGAAUGGUAGUGAGCAUGGCAGUUUACUGUUGCCUGAACAAUUCGAGAAUUGCAUUGGAGUCAUUUCAUUUUGACAUGCCUUUCCAAUUUCAUAAAAUAGAAAUCCCACUGUGUAGAUAAUUAAUUAAUGAAUUAAUUACCAUGCACAACUAUAAUUUCAAACCCAUGUAAUAGGUAAAUAUUGAAUCAUUGGGGUAAAAGAUUUUACAUUGUGAUUAAUUUUAAUAUCUCACCUCAUCAUUAAAUUAAGAUAAAUUUAAAAAAUAAAAAAAAGAUAUAAAUAUACAUUAAAAAUUAGUUAUUUCAUGCUUAAUUGCUUAUAAUAUCUAUAUAUCAACAAAUUAUAUAAUUUUUUUUAAUAUGCAUUUUCAAUAGCAAAUUAAGGCGGGAAAUGUAUAAAAUACACUUAGAACAUUAAAAAAUAUGAUUCUUGUAAAUAUAUAAUUUUAAUUAUUCUUUAUAUUAAAAAGAGGAAAUCUAAAAAAUUAAAUUUUUGAUUAUUUGUCUAAUUCUACCAUUCAAAUUUUUUUAAUAUAAAAUGAAAACAAAAAAAAUAUGUAAAAAUAAUUGUCAACUGUAAAAAAAAUUAAAAUAAAUAAAUAAAUGUCUAUUACAAAACUGAUAUAUAAUGUCAAUUAAUUAAUUAGAUUAGGUAAAAGAAGUGAUUGAAGUCAGCUGAUGACUUGGUUAAUAAAGCAACAAAAUAAUGGGUUGCCACCAAAUUAUAUCAACUUUAUUGACUUGGGUGCAAUCAUACUUAGAAAAGCAUUCAAAACCAGCAAACAUAAAAAUCCAUUCAUAAAGGCACACUUUGUAGGGCAUCAUAAUUAAUUAGGAAGCAAUAGACUAUCUUUAGUACACUUUUAUCAAGACCAGAUAAUUAUCUCUAUAAAUGACUCAUCAUCAUGCAACUUUCAUAUUAAUUAAUUGAGCACAUCAAAUUCAUGUGAUAGGUUGCAGAGGCUAUUUGUCACGUGUAGGUAUAUAAAAAAAAGAUAAUUAUUCUGUGAUUUAAUAUUUAAUUCAACUAAAUAUUAAUUUCAACAUAUCCAAUAAGUCCAUAUUCUUUAUUAUUAACCCUAAAUCCAUUUGCUAAUUCGUGAAGAUCUAAAGGAGGUAGUGGACAAAUUCGUAAGGGAUGUGGGUCCAAGUGAUGGGUAUCCCAUUAUUACAUUCGGUUUCUCGGGGUGAUUAUCAGAACAACUUUAAAUCCUGAAAUAACAAGAAAAGGUUUUUAAAUGAUUUGGAUCCAAAAUUCAUUGGGAAAAGAAUGGGAGAUUGAAGCAUAGAUAGUCAGGUUAGUCUGAGGAAAAUUUCUCAACAGUUAGCUUUGUUGUAUGAUUCUGAAACCUGUUCUGGCAAGUUGCUAUUUCACUUUUCUGCAUAUGCCCCCACCAUUGCCUUCAUUGGAAUACUCACACUCACCAACAAAAGUUGCCAAACCCGUCGCUCUUCUACCAUAUAGAAAGUGAACAAUAAUCUGCAGAGUGCUAAUCUGUCUUGAUAUAAUUUACAUUGAAAGUACUUCAGAUAUCUGCAACUAACAGAAACUCCGUUGUUUCAAGUCUUCAUCCCCCGCCAGACAUUAAUUACUUAUUUCCCUUCUGUUUUUAUGAAGAACUCAACUCUCCAGAUUCGCUUCAUCAGUCAGAACUUCCAUCUGUCAGGCAAAAUUCCCCACCAGAAAUAUAAAAAUUCUAGGGAGGAAGUAGAGGAUUUCUUGUAGAAUUUCUCCAACUAAGCAAUGUAAUUUCAUUCACAAGUCCAAUGGAUCAAGGAAAUUUUCAUUAUUAACUACAUAUUAUAUCAAUUGCUCCAACUCCACGCUCGGUUCAAGCUCAAGUAAAGCCUCUUACUUCCUUUGAGAACUUCACCAAGACUCCUGCCAAUAAUGUAAACCACUUAUCUUAGGUUAUGAUAGUGCAUUAUCAAUUGAGUUGAUGCAGUGUCAAUGCAACUAAAAGUUUGUUUCUGAACAUAA